GUGGCGGUGAAGUCAAAAGCAGUAGACUCAUUGUCUGAGUCAGUAUUGUGUAUUGAUGCUGUUCAAUAAAGGAUGUAAAUAGUGAUAGUAGUUACAGUCGUUGUUAAUUGAAUUCCUGCAAUGUCCUCGGCUUUAGGUGGCCCUGGAAUGUCCCACCGUGGGGCCAGGCCUGAGGAUGGUGUACGUGAUAUGAUUAUUAUUAGUGAUAUUGAUGAAAAUGGGAUUAAUAUCAAUUUAAAGACAAGAUACAAAGAAGAUAAAAUAUAUACUUUUACAGGGUCUAUAUUGGUAGCAGUUAACCCAUAUAAACAGUUGUUAAUAUAUGAACAGAAAGACAUAGAAGAAUAUAGUGGAAAGAAAAUAAGCCAAGUGGAACCACAUGUAUUUGCUGUUAGUGAAGAAGCCUUCCAGAACUUGAAGAACUCUGGUGUGAACCAGUCAUGUAUCAUAAGUGGUGAAAGUGGAGCUGGAAAAACAGAGACCACAAAGUUUAUACUACAGUAUCUAUGUUCUGUAACAAACCAUACAUCGUUCUGGGUGGAGCAGCAAAUUCUUGAAGCCAAUACAGUUCUAGAAGCUUUUGGUAAUGCCAAAACAGUAAGAAAUGACAACUCUAGUCGUUUUGGAAAAUUUAUGCAAGUGUGUUUUGAUGAUUCUUCACAAAUUAAAGGAUGUAUUGUACAAGACUACUUACUGGAACAGUCCAGGAUUACAUUCCAAUCCAAAAAUGAACGCAACUACCAUGUCUUUUAUCAGUUUAUUGCUGGUGCUGAUGCAAGUGCUGAAUUCAGGGAACAGUUUUUUGUUCAGCCUAUAAAUACUUAUUUUUAUUUAAACCAGAGUGGAUGUACAACUUUAAAUGGCGUUAAUGAUACAAAAAUGUUUGAUAGAUUACGAUUAGCUAUGAAUGUGUUAAAAAUUCCAGAUCAGAUGGUGGAUGGAAUAUUUUCUGUGAUUUCCGCAAUAUUGCAUUUAGGUAAUUUGACGUUUGAAGAUGUAGAAGGAGAAAAAAGUGAUUUGACAUCAAAGGAUAAGGAGAUAUUAGACAUGAUUUGUAUGUUAUUAGGAUUUGAAGCAGAACCAUUAACAGAUUCUCUUUUAUAUAGACAAAUUCAGGUUCGGGGAACAGUCACAAGCAUUCCAUUUAAAGUGCAAGAGGCAAGUGAAAAUCGACAUGCCAUGGCCAAAGCCUUAUACUCCAGAUCAUUUGCAUGGCUUGUAGAUGCUAUCAAUAAAUGUACGAAUCCAGGGCAACAUGAAUCAAGAUUUUUAGGAGUUUUGGAUAUAUUUGGAUUUGAGAACUUUGAGAUAAACAGUUUUGAACAGCUCUGCAUUAACUAUACCAACGAAAAGUUGCACAGAUUCUUCAAUCAUUAUGUAUUUGCUAUAGAACAGGAAAUAUAUAAAGAAGAAGAAAUAGAGUUUGCACACAUCACAUUCACUGAUAAUUCACCAUGUUUAGAGCUCAUCGAAAAGUCCCCAAGAUGUAUCUUAAAAAGUGUAGAUGAAGAAUGUAGAUUUCCUCAGGGUACUGACAAAUCCUAUAUAACAAAGCAACAUGAAGCUUUUGAGAGCCAUCCUUGCUAUAUAAAAGGAGACAGGAGGAUGUGGGAAGUAGAGUUUGGUAUACAACAUUAUGCUGGUGCUGUUACAUAUAAAGUCCAGGGCUUCCUUGAUAAAAACAAAGACACACAACAAGACAUGCUGUUUGAAAUGAUGCAUAAUUCUGUUAAUGUUUUUGUUCAAGAUUUAACCAGAUUUCAGGAUUUACUUGGAGUUAAAUUAGAAGAUAUGGGAGGAAGACAAACUAUUUCUAGGACAACCAGUAAAAAACCAACUGUUGGUGAUACAUUUAAACAUCAGUUGAAUGCUCUUGUUGAUAUUCUGACCACUACAAAUCCUUGGUAUGUGAGGUGCCUUAAAUCUAACACAGACAAAAAAGCCAAUGUAUAUAAUGACAAAGAGGUCCUUACUCAGCUGAGCUAUUCUGGAAUGUUGGAUAUUAUAAGGAUCAAAAGAGAGGGAUAUCCUAUCCAUGUGCCUCAUGAAAACUUCCUAGAGAAAUACAAGUGUUUAACACCAAACUUGAAUCCUGGAGAUGAACCAAAAACUCUCUCAAAAAAAAUAUUAAGCUUAUUAGAUCUUCCAAAAACAGAAUGGCAAGUUGGAAAAAAUAAGAUUUUCAUGAGGAACUCAGUAUUUGAACCACUGGAAGAGAGAAGAUUUGUUUUCGUGACACAAAAAGCUAUCCUUAUCCAGAGGAGAUGGAAGGGAUUUGCUUGUAGACAUAAAUUCCUAAGAAUGAGAGAAGCAGUAAUGAUAUUACAAGCAUACUUCAGAGCCUGCAGAUCUAGGUUACUGUUUAAGAGACAGAGAAGAUCUGCUGUUGUUAUACAGCGUCAUGUAAGAGGAUUCCUUGCAAGAAAGUUGGCUGCUCGUUUGAAAGAACAGAAGAGGAAAGAAGAAGAACGAAAACGAAAAGAAGAAAUGGAAAGAGAAAAACGAGAUAGGGAGAAAGAAGCUGCAGAUAAUGAAGCUAUUGAAAAUAUGAUCAAUUUCAGUAAUUUGACCAGAUCAGAAUUAAUCAGACAACUAAAAUCAUCUCAGGCAGAGUUAGAUUCCUUGACCAACCUUAUUGGUUCUAUGUGGACACAGUACAAGCCACAUGCCUCUCCAACUAACCUCGAUCUUGAUGAUAUGUUUAGUUUUCUUGUACAGGAAGAAAACAACUUGAACUCAGCCAAAUCAUCAAAUCAAGUACUAGACGAUAUUUACAAACAGUUUGAGGAUUUAGGAGACAAACUAGAGGAAGAUAUGGAAACUGAAGAUGUACUCAAUGACCUUGACAGAUCAAUUGAGGAAGGAGAAGACCCAUUACCUCCACCACCAAUGAUGAAUGCAUCUAGUGAAGGUUUGGAUGAAAAUGUACCAUUACCACCCCCACCACCUCCAGGCAGUGUGGAUAAGUCAUCACCACCAAGACCACCAUCAGCUUCUCUGAAGCCAGCUCAUCCUCCUAACUCAGAUUCUUAUGAUGAAAACAUGGCAGAAAUUGCAGGCAUAGAGGAUUUCUUAGACCAGUUUGAGACUGCAGCAGAUGAACUGAUGGGAUCAAAUACAGGAGUCCCACCACCACCUCCUCCUCCUGGUGGGGCAGGAAUACCUCCACCACCUCCUCCUCCACCAGGUCCUGGGGGAGUACCACCACCUCCUCCACCCCCAGGGGCUGGAAAUGUAAAUCGCCCACUACCACCAAGACCAACCUCAGUGGCUGUUCCACCAGUACUUCCACCUCCGCCAACAAUCCCAGCUCCUCCACUUCCAGAUCAUAUCAACCAAGAAUCAAAAACUCCAACUGCCAUUGAAUCUCUGUCACCAACCAUAGAGAAAAACUUACACAACUUAAUGAACUUUGAUAUGGAAUCACAACCAGAGAUGAAUGGUCAUGCAGUACCAGUUAAAGAUUUGGGAGAGGAUGAACAUGUUUAUUAUGAUAUGCUAGAGUAUGCUGAGAAGUACUUCAAUGAUCAUCCUAAGGAAGUGGGUGGGACUAUCAUGAAAAGUUUGAGAAAAAGGCCUGGAUCUGGAGAGAAGGGCUAUUUAACCAAGGAGGAAAUGCUGAAGUUUUGUAAGAAUGGAAAUAUACCAACAUCACAUGUACAUAUCCAUGACUUAGAGAGUGUACAUUUAGCCUGUACUUCAUUUAAGGAUAUAACUAAAUAUAUAAAGGAUGAGUCUAAAGACGAUGUUUUGAAAGUAGUUCAAAACUAUGUUGGUGCUGGAAUACAACAUGUAGAGUUACGAGAUGAGAUUUAUUGUCAGAUGAUUAGGCAGUGUACGGACUGCCCUGAACAAAAUUAUCAAGUCCAAGCUUGGUCACUAAUGUGUUUGAUUACAGCCUCAUUCUCGCCAAGUAAAAAUUUGCACAAGUACUUGCUGUCGUUUGUGAAGAAGAAUUGCAGUGAUAGUAUAAUAGGGAAGUAUUCUCUACAAUGUCAUAAACAUCUGACAAUGCCAAGAGCUAAAGCCAGAAAUCUGCCACCAUCUACAGCUGAAAUUAUGAGUAUGCAGAUGCUUAGCCCAUUGAUAUGUAAGGUAUAUUUUAUGGAUGGUAAGACCAAGGCUAUCAGUAUGAUGCCUAUAGAUACAGCAGCAGAGGUACUAGAUAGCGUGGCAAGGAAGAUAGGUUUACGAUCGGUAGAAGGAUGGGCUCUGUUUGAGAUGACAUCAGACUAUGAGAGAUAUAUCAGAGGUUAUGAAUAUAUUGCUGAUGUUUUGACACAAUGGGAAUUACAAGAAAGAAAAUCUGCUCAGUUAUCUAAGUAUGACACUGUAUCUAAGAAGGGACCAAAGAUGGCUCUAGGAGGAUCAGAUGCCAGACUAAUAUUCAGGAAGCGUGUGUAUAAACAUAUUAAAGACAUUCCAAAUGAUCCAGUUGAAUAUCAGCUACUGUAUGCUGAAUGUGUGGCUAAAGUGGUUAAGGAUGAAUUUCCAGUAUCAGAUAAGGUAGCAUUACAGUUAGCUGGUUUACAAGCUAGGGUGACCUUUGGACAGUACGAGGAAUGCAAAGAUUUUAGAUACAAAGAAGCAGAGCAGUUUUUAAGUAAGAGGAUAUUAGCUAUGCCUGGACGUGACUGGAAUGAAGAAGUUGCUGCAUCUCAUAGUCAUUAUGGUAAAGGAAAGACUGAACUAGAAGCACAAGUUUGGUAUUUAACAGCAGUGAGACAGUUUCCAUUGUAUGGAUGUACUUUGUUCCCCAUUGUUCAUAAAGGAUUGUGGUCACAUACAGGAGAUGCUUUAAUUGCUAUCAAUAUGGAUGGAAUUAAGUUUAUUAAAGCUAGAGACAAAAAUGUGAUAAAUCAGUUUAAUUAUACUGAAAUAGAGUCUAUAACAAUUGACCCUAAUGAUAAUUAUGUGACAUUAGAAUUGAAGAACACGGCUGAAGUUAACUGUCAACAGAGAUGUUUUAUGUUUGAGACAGAAUGUAAAGAAGAUAUAGGUUCUCUCAUUGCUAGUUAUUCUCCAAAUCAUGCCUCAUGGCUCAAUCCAGAAUAUGAAAGUCUGAAGAAGAAGUCUAAGAUGACAGAUGAAGAAAAACUAAAACUGUAUGAGGAAAUAGUUCGGUGUAGAAGAGCUUUAUCUGAUAGUCGUUUACUACAGAAACCAUCUGGUCAUGGAAAUCCUGGCUUCCUUAGACAGUCUAUUAGAAGGUUGAAUUGUAUGGCUGGUAUAUUUAGACUUACAAAAUCUAAGAUGGAGAGAAUUAGGAAAUCAACUAUUGGAGGUGGGAGUGGGAACUUUGAUGAUAGUUACUGGUCUUACAGUAAAUCUUGUAUAAAACAUCCACUGACUGUUUCUUUGACUGAUCCACAGAUGGAAGAGAAAGCUAUCAGAAUGUUCCAUUGUAUACUAAUGUAUUGUGGGGUAGAGGAGGCAGGUAAAGGUGAUGAGAAGCCAGACUUGAUGAGCUUAGUACAGAAUUUAAUGAACACAUGUCUGGACAAUGAUCAGCUGUGUAAUGAAUUCUAUCUACAGCUAGCCAAACAGACCACAGACCAUCCUGAUCCUAACAGUCAAGUUAACAAGAGGAACUGGCAGUUAAUGGCAGUAACCACAAGUUGUACUUUCCCUUCCAAUACACGUGUACAAAAGUAUAUACAGUGUCAUCUAAGGAAAUGUUCUUUAGAUGCUGCUAGUGAGGAAGGACGAUACGCAAGGUUUUGUCACAAGUGCUUCAACAGAACAUUGGAACAUAGGAAGAGAAAGUUCCCACCAUCUAGGAAGGAAAUUAAAUGUCUUAUAGAUAGGCGACAGAUAUAUGACAGAGUAUAUUUUAUGAAUGGUGAGAACAGGAGUAUAGAAUUUGAUUCUGCUGCUACUUGUGAAGAGGUUAUAAAAACAGUAAAAGCUAAGAUUGGAAUGAGGUCUGAUGCAGAUUGUUUUGCUCUCUAUGAACAGAUUGGUGGGUCUGACUUGUAUGAUAUCAAAGAACGGUGUAUGAAUUUGGAUGAGAAAUUAUCAGAUACCCUAAGUAAAUGGGAAAGACUUUCCAGAGGUGCUGUUAGGGAUAAUAGAUUAAUUUUCAAGAAACGAUUGUUUAUUUCUCCCUACAUAAAUCCACUAGACCCAGUGGAAUGUGAUCUUGUCUUCCAUCAACUUAUAGAAGAUAUGUUUGAACAGAGAGUACCACUUACUGUAGAGGAUGCUGUUCAUCUGUGUGCCUUAAAGAUUCAAUCUGAGAUGGACGAACUGAAGACGGCAGAUAUAGACUACAGUUCUGUAGUAAGAAUUUUACCCCGUAGCAUGAGGGCCAAUAUAAAAGUAGAAGAUAUAGUUGCAGCUCACCAAAAUCUUCUAGAUAUGACACCAAACCAGGCAAUCCUCACCUUUAUAGAAAUGCUCAAAUCAUGGCCAUUGUUUGGAUCAACAUUAUUUGAAGUUUCACAAUCUUAUACAACAUCACUACCAAAGUUACUGUUCCUAGCAAUCAACCAGAAAGGUGUGUCGUUACUGGAGUUGAAAACAUUCGAAAUAUUAGACGCCCACGAUUUCACUGCAGUCGUCCAUUCCAGUCCAGCUAUAAAAAGUAUUAUGAUUGUAGUAGGUCACAUGGCAACAGGAUCAAAGUACAUGUUUAAUUCAAAUCAGGCUUAUGAGAUAGCACAUCUAAUCAAAGACUACAUAGAUGAAUUACAAGCUAGAUGUGUUAUACCACGGGCUCGACCAGAAAGUCUAUACCAAAGUAAUCGUGUGUCUUCUGUUUACAUUGAUGACCAUACAUUUGAAACAUUACAAACACUUGUGUAAUACUUUAUAUAGAUAUAUACAACCUUAAUAUACAAGAUUAGUAAAAGCAGCAGUAUUUAAUCAUAAUGGCAGAUCAGCUUUUGUAAUCAAAUAUCAAGUGUAUUUUGGCUUCCAAGCUUUGAAUUUUAAAAGGCAUAGUUUUUUCAAAAAUUGCUAAUAAAUUAUAGUAGGAGAAAAAAAGUUAAUAUAUUGACCAGUCUGAAAAUUGUACGAGGACCCUUACUGAAAUAAAUAGGGAGUAAUAUGGUUUUAUACCAAGAUAUUUAUUUGAGUUUAUUGAUCAAAUGUAUAAAUUAUGUUAAACUAUUUGUCUAGUUUUGUAAAAGAAAUACUCUAGACUAUAAACAAAGUGCAAUAUUUUACUUUCUAAGUCAUUUCUAAUGAAAAUUUGUGAUGACUUUUGUUUUCUAUACAGUGAAAUCUGUUUAAACUAAGAUUGAGAUAUAUUGAAAUAAUUAAAGUUACAUUUUGAUGUCAUUAAUUGUCAUAUUGGUGUAAUAUUAAAUAAAUACUUUAUUUGAAUUAAGAGAAGAAGAAAGGAACAUUCUACAUCUUAUUGCUAAAAAAGAAAGCAUGUAGUAUACCAUUUUAAUACAAAAAAGAAAUGAUAUAUUUUUCAGCUGUUGUGUAUAUUGGAGAAAAGUAUUCUUAGUGCCUUCUAAAUUCAUGCUAUAAAGUAUUUAAUAGAUUAAUGGGUAUUUGCUUAGAAUUGACUAAAGCUUUCAUAGAUAUCAUUCAGGUAUAUUUUCCUUUUCCUUUUUUAUACAACACUAUUGUUUUUGUUUUUUUAUAUACCAUAUACUUCAUUUUGAACAAUAGGCAGAAUUCCUAAAAUUUUGAACGGAAAUGAUGAUUUUUGCUUUCUUCACCUCCCUUUCUUUUCUAGCUGUUUUUUUCCACAGAUUGCUAAAGAUUCAAACUUCAUAUUUUCUAUGAAACAAGACCAAAGCAUCAUUUUCAUUGCAAUCAGCUGCUUAUGAUAAGAUUUUUUAUUUCUUAAAGGUAAAAAAAUCAUACUUGUGUCCACAGAUUAAGUUUAGCCUGCUUCCUAUCUCAACUUACAUCUAAAACUUACAAUGAGGGAUCAGCUGAGAACUUACAAUGAGGGAUCAGCUGAGAACUUACAAAAGAGGUGAUUUCAAUUUUCCCAUUGUGAAUGUUCCAUUUCUGUUCAACAAAAUUUCAGCAGUGCUUGUAAAUUGAUUUAAUAUCUCCCAGUUGAUAUUCAAGGGCUUGCAUUUUCUAUCAUAAUUUCCUUGAUAGAAGGUUGCUGCUAACAAACUAACUAUUUAACCAAAGAUUCCAAUUGGUUAGGUUUAAGUCCCUCCUUUGAAAGUUUUAUUGAUGCCAUCUUGUUUUGAUUGACCAUCAUGGAAUGAUCAUAGUUGCAGAUUACUACAGAUCUGUUCCACUUGUAACCAAAAUCUUUCUUUUUUUUCCAUGAUUGUGACAUCAUUAAAUGUGACUGGUCACUGAAUAAGUCUAUCCGUUUAACUACCAAGAAAUUCUUUAGUUUUUAUAUUAGAAUUUCUGCAUGUGCAAAUGAAAACUAAAAACAGUAUUUUCAGGCAUGGAGUUUAGAUAACAUUUUUGUAGGAGACUGAUAACCUUUUUAUACUGUUUUUUUUUUUUUAAAUCAGUCACGAAAAUUGUAUUGAAUUGGUGAUUUGAUAUCAUUUUAUUGUAUAUGAUUGUAUCAGCCUAUAGACGUAUUUACACUUGUAUGCAAAUUUGUCCGCCAUUACGUAAAAUCACACAGGUUCCCAUAAACUUUGCCAUCAUAAUUCAAAACAUUCGAUGUCACAAUUAAAAAGUGAUUGUUGCCUGACGUCAAAAGGUGAUUCGGAGUAGAUCCAAGGUCAUUUGGAGGCAAAAUAUAGCUUUAUACCAAAAGUGUAAAUACAUUUAUUGCAAGUCACUGAUCAUUUUUGUGAUUACUUUGAUGAAGUAUUUUAAGAACAAAAUCAACACAAAUUUGAUCAUUAAGUAUGGAAAUAAAAUAAGACAUUUGUUGGGCGUAGAAAUUUUCUGAUUUUUCCUUUGCUGGACAAAAGUGUCAUUUUAGGUUAUUAAUUAUUGUUUAUAUUGGUGGAUCUAUUAUAAUCUUCAAGAAUUUACUAAUGCACUGAAAAAAGAUUUGAAUUUUUACUUUUGAAUCAGUUUUUCCUAACGUGAUUAACAUUUAUUCAUCUCCUGCUGACAAAUGGAACUUAAUUAAACCCCCAUAUUCUGGUGUUUCAAGGUCAUAUGCAAUAAAAUUUCGACUGUUAGAGCUGUUUGAUUUCCUAAUGCACUUUUUAAAGGAUUAUAUAUAAGAUAUAUGUUCAACCAAAAAUUUUCAAGUUCUAGGAAUAAUAAGAAAAAUUAUUGAGGAAACAGUGAAAAUGAACUUCGUAAGUUCCCUGUAAUUACUCUUCUGUAUGAUGUCAUAUGUGCCGUGUGUUGACAACACGGAAUUGAAAUAACGGGUUUCCUCAUUUUUUAUUUUGAAUGAGAUUUAAGCAAGCAUGGUUAUAAUGACAUGAGUUGUUUUAUCAUACAGCACCAUCACACAUUAUGCCAUACAGUUAGACGGGUAUACAUGCACAUGUAAGGGACUUGAAACAAUGUGUUUACAGUAGUAGUGUAUACCAUACAAUUCACCUUUUUUGUUUGACUGUGCUUGGUUCUAAAUCACUGCAUGGAUUCAAAUUUCCAACUGAUUCCAUCUUUCAGGACUGAACAUGUAGAUAAUUUGAUCAUGGAAACUCUUUCUUUUCAACUGGCCUUUUACCCUUCACCACUCGAGGCAAAAUGUUUUCCCUAAAUGGAACAGAUCAAACCUGAAGUCAGCUGAUUGUGCUACUUUACAUCAACAAAUUCCAGGAGGGUCAUAUCUGACCUUAAUUAACACAGUGAUGGGGAGACGAGUGAUAAAAUUUUAUUGCAGACAUAUUUGUUAGGAAAUUUUCAAACAAGUUAAAAACUAAUAUGGAGAUGCACAAUUUAUAUUCCAUUGAUAUUUAUUUAAGUUUGUUUUUUACUUACCAGUUUUAAGUAGAUUAUAAAAAAAUGUUGCAUGUGACCUGUAAAAGGUGUUAGAAUUGAGUUCCAUUAAGUCGUGCUGUGGCAAGGUGAAGACUUCUCUUAAAAGGAGAAAAAAUAACAAAAACAGGUUUAAAAACUAUAUAUUUCAUACUUGUAUAUUUAUUUUGAACUAAUAUCUAGUCUACACAGGUUAACUAUUUAUUUUUGUACAAAAUUAUUCCACAUCUAUUGUCAAGUAAGUUAUCUUCUCUUUAUAUGGUGAUGUAUUUAUUUCCUGGUAACAGUCUGAUGCUAAGUGUAUUUAUUUAUGUGUAUGAAACAAAUUUUUGUACUCUAAUGUUUAAAUAUUUCAGAUUUUCAGAGGGAUCAUUUCUCAAAAUUUUCAAAAUCAGUCGCCAAAUUGAAUUUGUAUUAGCAUAGUGGGAUUUUGGUGGAUAAAGGCAUAGGUUGAUUUGAUAUCAUUUCCUUAAAAAAAAUACAACAUUAUCUGAAUCCAUUACUAUUUGGAAUUUAUUCUAAUUAUUACAUAAUUGAAAAAUAAAUUUUUCCAUUAAUAGAAAUAAUAGAAUUAUCUUGGAAAUAACAUGAAUCAACAAAUGAUGGAAGUUUUUGAAUCUUUAAUUCAAAAGAGGAUCCCAAGUAGGGAGAUUGUGAUUCAAUGGUGGUAGUUUGUAGCUGUCAGUCAUAUUUGUUUUUUGUUUAAUGAUUUAAGCAUAUAUCAGGCAAUUGGUUUUCUCUUCUGAAUUGUUUCACAUUUUGUCAGUCCAGAGCCUUUUUUUACAGCUUACUAUACAGUAUUGGUUUUGCUCAUUGUUGAAGGCCAUACAUAAGUUGUUUACAUCUCUGUUGGAUAAUUGUCUCAUUGUCAUUCAUACAAAAUCUGAUUAUUUUUUACAAUGGAGGAUUUUUGUCUUUUUUUUUUAACCAAAAAUAGUUUGCACUUCACAGUAAAAUUGUUUAAGGAAGUGUGGAAUUAGCAAAUAAUUAACAAUUAGGAAAUACUUUAAAUAAUUUAAUUAAAGUUUCCGUCUUUAUUGUUAUAUUUUUCAACAUUUAACCUUUUUUUAAUGAACCUAAAAUAAACUAUUUUCUGGUUGCCUUUUUUAGAUUCAUGACUAAUGUUUUAGACAAAUUUCGGUUAGAUAUGUUUUUGUUAUAUUUGUAUUGUUAUUUACCAAUAUGUAUGUAAUUAUUUAUUUAUGUGUUCUUUUUAUUACACAAUCUAUGCAAUUUUUAUGCAUAUUUAUCAAAAUUUUACACUUGCAUAAUUUUUUAAACUAGUUUCUUUGUUUUUUUUCAAAUUAGGGAUUUUGUCUGCAUAUCAGAAGAUUUCUUACAUAUAUUAUCAUUUAUUAUUUUUCAAAUAUUGAGGAGAUAUGUUUAUAUUUGGUUGAAUUCUUGUCAGUGAAAGGAAGAAUUACAGAUGAAUAUGAUAUUACAGUAGUUGACUCGAUACUCAAUUUGGAUUUGUAGAAAGAGAAUGAAGCAAGAAUUAUAUUUUACAUAUGUUUGAUCAUUUGAUUUCAUACUCACAUUUUAUUUGAAUUUGGCUCAUCAUGGUCAGUCUUCAAAAAAACUAACAUUUUAUAUAGUGAUGUAAAUGAUAAUGCAAUCUUAGAACUUCUUAAUCUUCAUUUAGAUACCCAUUGCAUGCUUCAGGGUUAUUAAGAGAUCUUCACUGUUUUUAUCAGAUUUUAAUUCUUUAAAAAAGACCAGUGGCGGAUCCAGAAACUUUCAAAAGGGGUGGGGGCCCACUGACUGCCUAAGAGGGGGCCCGCUCCAAUCAUGCUUCAGUGAUUCCCUAAAUAACCAACCAUAUUGUUCCCACAAAAGCCCCCCCCCCCCCCCCCUUAAACCUGCCUCUGAAGACUGACAUCUUUUCAGUUGUCACAAUACUUGAAUGAAGUGGUAAUGUAAAAUGAAUAAAACCCAUGACCUUUUUUAUAAAGUAUUAAUCAUAUACACAAGUUUAAGUGCUAAAUGAUUAAUUUUAAGUAUUAAGUAUACUUUGUCAACAUUUUGUAUAAUAAUCUCUAUACGCUUUGAAUCUCUUUCAUUUAUAGUGUACAAUGUGCAAUGUUUUACUAAUGUGAUGUAACAAUCUUGUCAAUAAAUUUAUUUUCAUAUA